rnacentral:rRNA from 1 species
CACGUAGGGGACGAGCGUUGUUCGGAUUCAUUGGGCGUAAAGGGUGCGUAGGUGGCGCCGUAAGUCGGGUGUGAAAUUUCGGAGCUUAACUCCGAAACUGCAUUCGAUACUGCGGUGCUUGAGGACUGGAGAGGAGACUGGAAUUCAUGGUGUAGCAGUGAAAUGCGUAGAGAUCAUGAGGAAGACCAGUGGCGAAGGCGGGUCUCUGGACAGUUCCUGACACUGAGGCACGAAGGCCAGGGGAGCAAACGGG